rnacentral:lncRNA from 1 species
GGACGGGGAGGCGCCGCCGAGAGCGAGCCAGGGCUGCUAGCACGUUGUCACCUUUCACUUGGAGGUAGGGCUUCUAGUAGGAGAGGUGGAGAGAGACAUUGAUGAGGAGGGAGAACCUGAGUUUAGGCCAGGAUUCCAACCGUCCGUUUCAAGAGAAAAUGUUCCUGCUGAAUAACAAGGGGGAAACUUGACCAGGCAGGGCCUGGAAAUUAAGAUGGAAGCUCGAGGUUAUGAGAGGCCAGCGUUUCGGGUGCUGUCCAGGUGACUAGGCCUCUAGAGGUUCUUAGAAAGAGAAAGCAUUCUGUGUGGGACUCAGUCUGGGAAACACUGCAUACUGUGUUCUUGUGGAGUUUCACAAUUAAUGCAAACACAUUAAAGGCUCAGAGAAGUCCUGCAGUAAAGAACAUUUCCAAUACAACCCUGUAUUCCCAGCACAGAUGGCCACAAAGCCACUUUUGUUGGAAGACUCGCCAAGGCAGGACAUUUAUUAAUAUUUUGUGAAAGAAGAAUUAUUUUAUUUAAAAAAAAAUAGAGACAGGAUCUUGCUGUAUUGCCCAGGCUGGUCUUGAACUCCUGGACUCAAGAAAUCCUCCUCGGCCUCUCAAAGUCCGGGGAUUACAGGCAUAAGCCACCGCACCCCGCCAAGAAGAAUUCUUUGGGAACCACUAGCACUCUGGAAUGCUUUACUGUAGAUAUGAAUAAGUGAUUUUUUUUAAAUACAAAAGUCAUAUUAGUAUUAAUUAGUUUUGGUGCAUUUUAGAAAAUACACGUUUUAGAAAGCUUACCCUAAUAACGGUUGGAAGACAUGCUGGAAGAGGUAGCAUGAUAGCAAGUGCUGCAGAGGGAGAGGCGUAACUGGGUUCAAAUUUGCCGCUUGCUGCCUGUGAGUCAAGCCUCACAGGUUUGCAUGGUUUGAUUAAAAUAUGGCUUUAAAGAUCUUAGCACAAAGCCUAGCACAUGGUAAGCACUCACUGUGUGGAAGCUAUUAUAUUAUUUUCAUUUUAUUAUGAUAAAUUGGGGCCGACUAGGUCAAGUCAUCAAAGUUUGGCCCACCCAUGGGAUUUGUAGACUUUUGCAGGGCUGUGCCUCCUUUCCUCCCCAGACAAAAUCCAUCACGUCAGCAGUCACAGGGCACCCUGGUUCCCUCUCUGAAUGAACUGUUAAAUGACUAAGCUGGCUCCCAACAGAGGCAGAGCCCAGCAAUAUGCGGCCUGUAAUCUGUCAGAUGAUACAGCAACAGGCCCAGUGAGGGGCCCGACACACCCCCCAGGAGAGUGGAGUCUCUCACUGCAUGUGACGUGGAAGACGCCGAAGAGGUGAGGGAGGCACCAUAUGCUGCGGGCCUGCCAAGGGAGAAUAAACAGCACCGGCAGCCUGGCACAGAGCUCUGGCGGGAACGUCCACCAAGAUCGGUCAGGCACUCUCAUGGCGUCCUCCUGGAUACAGGCUUUUGCUUUUGUUUUUAAUUUUGGAGCAGUGAAGCCGAAAGUGAGGAGUGAGGACAAGGAGAAGACCCAUUUGCUCCUGUUCAUUCAAACAGCAUCUCUUCAUUUUGAAAUUGGCAAGAGGCAGUUCGGGGCUGUGGCAGGUCCUGUACACCACCUGUUGCCUCCCAAGUCACUGUGCCUUUCUGGCUUUCUUUACCUAUGUCCUGUAAAACGCCAGAAUCUUGUAAGAAGGCAGGAGUUCUAGAUUGGUGAAGAAUGUGGUUGGGAAUGCAGUUGACAAGGCUGACCGUGAUAUUGACACCAUGGACAAUGCAGUCUGGUGUCCACACAGACUCCCUACACUCAGAGAGUCAUGCUGCAAAGAUGCUUUUUCUGGGAAGAGGCCUCUCUCCUCAGUAAGACUCAAGACCUUGUACACAAGACCUCUGUUACAGAAGAAACAAAUUCUCUAAGCUUUGAUUCAAGCUCCCCAAGCUGUGAGAAGUCAGAAAGGAGCUUAAGGGGAAAGGUACCAAUUGGCCACUUCAAAUCUGAACCUAAGUCCUCAGCAGGAAAAUACUCACAGUCUACAAGGAAAGAAACAAGUGGGCUAUGGAAGAAACAGAGCCAUUAAAUCUUAUAUUGAA